ACGGGUGAGUAACGCGUGGGAACGUACCUUUUGGUUCGGAACAACACAGGGAAACUUGUGCUAAUACCGGAUAAGCCCUUACGGGGAAAGAUUUAUCGCCGAAAGAUCGGCCCGCGUCUGAUUAGCUAGUUGGUGAGGUAAUGGCUCACCAAGGCGACGAUCAGUAGCUGGUCUGAGAGGAUGAUCAGCCACACUGGGACUGAGACACGGCCCAGACUCCUACGGGAGGCAGCAGUGGGGAAUAUUGGACAAUGGGCGCAAGCCUGAUCCAGCCAUGCCGCGUGAGUGAUGAAGGCCCUAGGGUUGUAAAGCUCUUUUGUGCGGGAAGAUAAUGACGGUACCGCAAGAAUAAGCCCCGGCUAACUUCGUGCCAGCAGCCGCGGUAAUACGAAGGGGGCUAGCGUUGCUCGGAAUCACUGGGCGUAAAGGGUGCGUAGGCGGGUCUUUAAGUCAGGGGUGAAAUCCUGGAGCUCAACUCCAGAACUGCUUUUGAUACUGAAGAUCUUGAGUUCGGGAGAGGUGAGUGGAACUGCGAGU
rnacentral:rRNA from 1 species